GCGGCAAUUGCUUGGGUAAUUCGAGGGGCACCACAUCCCUAAACUCAAUGAGAACACCCUUGAUGGGUGCUGGAAUCUCCUGUCCUUCCAAUAGGUCUUCCUCCUAAAGGGAUGCAAUGUAUGUUGGAAGUCCCUUUCUCAGCCCCUUAGCAAGUUGCAUGGCCGAUAGGACUCGUUGUGGAGUCCCUCUAACUUGCUUCCUUUGAACCAUGCAAGGCCUGCUUGAAUUUAGGACCACCACCACAUCUGAAUCUACCUUCACCAUGGCUUGUAGUUGGGUA
rnacentral:lncRNA from 1 species